rnacentral:rRNA from 1 species
GAAUCCCGUCUUUGGCACGGAUGCCUGGUGCUUCUGUGAUGCGCUCUCGAAGAGUCGAGUUGUUUGGGAAUGCAGCUCAAAAUGGGUGGUGAACUCCAUCUAAAGCUAAAUAUUGGCGAGAGACCGAUAGCGAACAAGUACCGUGAGGGAAAGAUGAAAAGCACUUUGGAAAGAGAGUGAAACAGUACGUGAAAUUGUUGAAAGGGAAACGCUUGAAGUCAGUCGCGUCGACCGAGACUCAGCCUUGCCUUGGCUUGGUGUACUUCUCGGCCCGACGGGUCAGCAUCAAUUUUGCCCCUCGGAUAAUGGCAGGGGAAAGGUGGCACCUUUACGGGUGUGUUAUAGUCUCCUGUCGAAUGCGAGGGGUGGGAUUGAGGAACUCAGCGCGCACCUCAGUGUCGGGGCUUCGGCCCACGUCACGCGCUUAGGAUGCUGGCGUAAUGGCUUUAAACGACCCGUCUUGAAACACGGACCAAGGAGUCCAACACGCCCGCGAGUGUUCGGGUGGAAAACCCGUGCGCGUAAUGAAAGUGAAAGUUGGGACCUCUGUCGUGGAGGGCACCGACGCCCGGACCAGACCUUCUGUGACGGAUCUGCGGUAGAGCGUGUGUGUUGGGACCCGAAAGAUGGUGAACUAUGCCUGAAUAGGGUGAAGCCAGAGGAAACUCUGGUGGAGGCUCGUAGCGAUUCUGACGUGCAAAUCGAUCGUCAAUUUGGGUAUAGGGGCGAAAGACUAAUCGAACCAUCUAGUAGCUGGUUCCUGCC